ACAUGGCUUCUGUGUUGCUAGGCUGGCUAGAAUCCAGGGUCUUGUUGCCAGUGAUCUGCAAUUCCAUUUAACAAUAAAAGGGGCUGAUGAUAUUACUGACGAAACAGCCUAAGGAUGGCCAUAUGCUAAGGAUGUUAUGAGGCAUGAAGCUGACUGAAGAAUAAUGACCAAAAGAAGGUAAUAAAGAGCAAGAACGUGGCACCAUGGUGAAUCUUACAACACAGAGCUGCUUUGCUUUGAAAUCUGUAAAUCUCAGUUGGCUUCUGUGAUCAAGCCAAGAAACCCUACUGUUGGUUCAAAACUAAAACACUUUCCCAUCAGAUCUCACGGCUCUGCGUGCAGCCAGCGGGCAGGCAUCUCUUAACUCAGUAUGUCUGCAGACUAUUUGAGCGGUGUACCUUUCCAUCUCUGUCUGUGCAUGUAGCUCAUUCACCACAUCGAUAAAGGAUCGCACUCA